rnacentral:rRNA from 1 species
UACGGAGGGAGCAAGCGUUGUUCGGAAUUACUGGGCGUAAAGCGCGUGCAGGCGGCCGAUUAAGUCCGGUGUGAAAGCCCGGGGCUCACCCCCGGAAGUGCGCUGGAAACUGAUCGGCUAGAGUACGGGAGAGGGAAGCGGAAUUCCUGGUGUAGCGGUGAAAUGCGUAGAUAUCAGGAGGAACACCGGCGGCGAAGGCGGCUUCCUGGACCGAUACUGACGCUGAGACGCGAAAGCGUGGGGAGCAAACAGG